GGUCUUUUCAGCUCCAGAGUUCUGGUUGUAAAAGCGCGAGUUUUGUUUUCCCAUAGUGUGGCCUACAGCAGCCAUGGGGACACACGUGCCCCUGCACUCAGGGUCUUCAAUCAGGACUGAACUUCAGACACCAGAUGGCACAUGCCUGUAAUCUCAGCACUUUGGGAGACCGAGGCAGGCGGAUCACUUGAGGUCAGGAGGUCGAGACCAGCUUGGCCAACAUGGUGUACUCCAACAUGAAAACGGAGCAUGCAUGUGAGCUGAGUAGUGACAUGCAACAUGCAUGUCCAUUGAUCCUUGCUGCUCAUUCACAUACAGUGUUCGCGAUGCCCCCUGGACACAGAAUUCCAGUGGACCCACCACGUGUGGGGAUUCAGGGGAGACUCAAAGCAAAUACAAGACAAGGAAAUGGAAUUGACCCUGAAUCAGAAGAGCUCCGUAUCCUUCUUCUUGGAUGAACCGAUCCAGAUCCCUUUGGGGAUGUCUUUCUGCACUUUUCCCCAUAGCGUCAGCUUUUGGAACUCAAAAGUAGUAGAUAUCCCAGGGACAGAGUAUUCAAAGCUUUACUGUGUUAGGGAUCGAAGUGACAGCAGAGUAAGGAAGUAAAUCCAGGAUGCAGGAGUUUGGGUGGACAUGCCAGGGCUGGUUUGUCUCUACCUACACUUGUGACGAUUAAUAAAGAAAACAAGUUCUGUUUUCCGUAAGUCCCUUAUUCAUUCCAAAACACCUCUGCAUGCCAAGCAUGGAGAUCCUAGGCCCAGAGUCAGGGUCAAUCGCUGGCCAUUAUAGGACUCUCAGCUUCAGAAACUCCCAUGGCACACACGUGGCCAUGGUUUCUCAUUAAAAACCCAAAGCAGAGGAGGAUGGUUAUACUGUACCAGUGUUGUCCAGGAACUCAUCCUUCCAUGGCUAACCCAACCAAACAGACUAAUUUGUUUUAAACAUUAAUAUAAGCAGGAAAUCUACCACAAGACCUUCUGUUGGAGGGUAGGCUAUUUGUAGUUUGCAUCCAGAGAAGAACAUAUGAAUAUUUCUUCUGUCAACAUUCGCCUGCACUGUACGUGCUGCUCUGCUUCUCUGGCCUCAGCCCCACACUGAGCCUGUUGAGGCGUGAAGCUGAGAGGUCAAGUGUCUCAUAUGUGCUGAAUCCCAGAUGUCGCUUUCCUGCUCUCAGCCUGCAAGCCACUGAACCAUGCAGGGUGAAGGUUGGAGGUCUUGGCGGUGACUCUGUGUUCCUGGGAGCAGCCUCCUUCUCUCCCCAUGUCCCUCUGGCCUGCACAUGCCACCUGUCUCCCCAACCCUGCCCCAUCUUAUGACAAUCCCUGCAAAAAUAAAUGAGCAGGGAAGAUUAUUAACUGUUUACCUGUGAACUCUGGCAUGUUCUGAAAGCUGAGUUCUUGUGUCCAACAACCUAAGGUGAAGCUGGUUGUGUGUAUUUUGCAGAGUAGCAGCUGGAAAUGGGCUUUCUGAUUCUAGAAGAGCCCCAUUGGCUGUAGAUGAAUGUAGCCAAUAUUUCUAGCAAUUUGUCCUGGCCUCUCAUUUUCCCUCCUUCUAAAAACUUCUUAGCCAUGGCUUCCAGGUAUAAAGUGACUAAGAUACGCCUUCGUUAUUCUUGACCCAGGGCCCCAGGAAAGAGUUUCUGAGGCUUGACACAGGUGGGGUUUGCAGAAAAAACAUCACACAGUGAAGUGACAAAUUUAGAGGCAGGGGGAAUCAUUGAGGAUUCCCAUGUUGUGAAGCAGGAGGCGAGUUGUAAUGUUGAGGGACCUGAAGAAGUUAGAGGCACGGGGAAGGAAAAAGGAAGAAGAUUUUGUUACUGAUUGGAUUUAGAGAUUCAAGAAUAAACAAGAAACAAGUAUGACUCUGAGGGUUUGAGCCUGAGCCAUGGGAGAAUGGAGGAACCACUGACAGAAGUUGGGAGGGAUAAAAUGGGACCAGUGCUAGAGUGAUGAGUACCUGAGAGAAAAAUUCUUGAAUGUCACUAAUAUUACUAAACAUGGAUUUGUUGUACUAGCCAUGGUGGAACGAUACCAUAGUUACGUUCCUAAAAAGAAAUCACAAGCCUUGACCUAGCUAAGGCAAUUGCGCUGAGGGCUGAAAGAAAACAAAAUAAAGUGUUUGUUCCCACCUCCCCUCUUCUCCUGGGCUUAUAAUCAUUGACAGGUUACUACUGCUAUGCAUUUAUAGCUUUUUGGAACAGAGCAAGAUUCUUGGCUACCACCCAGGGAAGGCUGUCUAGCAGAGUGAGGCCACAUGGAAAGUUUCAGUCCCAGGAAGGUUCAUCCUGAGUCUUUCACUGAUUUCACAAACACAAUGAAUUGAGUAUCCUGUAGGCCAGGCCCCGGGCUAGGCCCUGGGGGGAUAAGGUAAACAAUACCAACACAGGCCCCCCUAAUCCCAAGCACAAUCAGCAGUCUCUUAAGACUUUUGUCUGGAAAGGCUGUUGGUCUGCUCUGGCCAUCAUCACAAAGUACCAUGGACUCCAGGCUGGAAAUCUAAGAUCAAGCUGUGGGCAGAAUUGGUUUCUCCCAAGGCCUCUCUCCUUGGCUUGUAGAUGGCAUCUCCUUCCAGUGUAUUUGUGUCCUCAUCUCCCCUUCUUAUAAGGACAGCAGCCAUAGUAAAUCAGGGCCCACAUGAGUGACCUCAUUUUACCUUAAUUACCUUCUUAACCGGCCUGUCUCCAAAUACAGUCACACAUUUUGAGGUCCUAGGGGGUUAGGACUUCAAUAUAUGAAUUUGUGAGAGUGGGACACAAUUCAACCCAUAGCAGGCUAGUCCCUGGCUGCCCACCUCGUCAGGGACUAUUCUGUGGGAUUCUGUGUAAGCAGCAGCCUCGUCCUGCCUCCCAGUCCUGAGGAAGUCCAUCUCGUGGGCAUGGGGAAGCCAGUGUGUCUGAGUUCGUAUUAAAGAUGCUCUGAACAAGAAGAAAACCCAUUCGCAGCAUGGAUGGGCCUGUCCCUCUAUCCAUGGAUCUGUGCUCUUUGUCUUGUGGGACUUGUGGACAGAAUAAACGGUGAUCUGGGCUUUUUACUCAUACAAAUGAAAUGACUGGUGUGGUGUCGGUGUGUGUGAAAGGGAAGAGUCACUGGAUCCAAGUAAGCCAGACUCCUGCCCCUCAGCCCCCUCUCCAGUACACAGGACACGGGGGGCAGGGGCCCUUCCUGCUUCCACUUAGGGCCUGGAGGGUUUCUCUAUCUCUGACUGGGUCCCUAGGUUCCAUGUUACCCUUUGAUGAUGUACCCGCUCACUCAUUUUGUGCUCUUCCAGCCAAGAUUGUCUGUUAUUUGAUAGAACUGAGAAAAAUCUCCAGAUUGGCUGCAAAAUCCAACUUUUACAGCUGUUUCCACUUCUAUUUAAUGUGACAACAAGAUCUUUCCCUGAGAUUUCUUCCAGACUCAAUUUUGAGAUGAAGAACCUUCUUUUUUUUUAUUUUAUUAUUAUUAUACUUUAAGUUUCAGGGUACAUGUGCACAAUGUGCAGGUUAGUUACAUAUGUAUACAUGUGCCAUGCUGGUGUGCUGCACCCAUUAACUCAUCAUUUAGCAUUAGGUAUAUCCCCUAAUGCUAUCCCUCCCCCCUCCCCCCACC
rnacentral:lncRNA from 1 species